AGACCCGAAACCCGGUGAUCUAGCCAUGGGCAGGUUGAAGGUUGGGUAACACUAACUGGAGGACCGAACCGACUAAUGUUGAAAAAUUAGCGGAUGACCUGUGGCUGGGGGUGAAAGGCCAAUCAAACCGGGAGAUAGCUGGUUCUCCCCGAAAGCUAUUUAGGUAGCGCCUCGUGAAUUCAUCUCCGGGGGUAGAGCACUGUUUCGGCUAGGGGGCCAUCCCGGCUUACCAACCCGAUGCAAACUGCGAAUACCGGAGAAUGUUAUCACGGGAGACACACGGCGGGUGCUAACGUCCGUCGUGAAGAGGGAAACAACCCAGACCGCCAGCUAAGGUCCCAAAGUCAUGGUUAAGUGGGAAACGAUGUGGGAAGGCCCAGACAGCCAGGAUGUUGGCUUAGAAGCAGCCAUCAUUUAAAGAAAGCGUAAUAGCUCACUGGUCGAGUCGGCCUGCGCGGAAGAUGUAACGGGGCUAAACCAUGCACCGAAGCUGCGGCAGCGACACUGUGUGUUGUUGGGUAGGGGAGCGUUCUGUAAGCCUGUGAAGGUGGCCUGUGAGGGUUGCUGGAGGUAUCAGAAGUGCGAAUGCUGACAUAAGUAACGAUAAAGCGGGUGAAAAGCCCGCUCGCCGGAAGACCAAGGGUUCCUGUCCAACGUUAAUCGGGGCAGGGUGAGUCGACCCCUAAGGCGAGGCCGAAAGGCGUAGUCGAUGGGAAACGGGUUAAUAUUCCCGUACUUGGUGUUACUGCGAAGGGGGGACGGAGAAGGCUAUGUUGGCCGGGCGACGGUUGUCCCGGUUUAAGCGU
rnacentral:rRNA from 1 species